rnacentral:rRNA from 1 species
GUGGGGAAUAUUGGACAAUGGGCGAAAGCCUGAUCCAGCCAUGCCGCGUGUGUGAAGAAGGUCUUCGGAUUGUAAAGCACUUUAAGUUGGGAGGAAGGGCAGUAAGUUAAUACCUUGCUGUUUUGACGUUACCAACAGAAUAAGCACCGGCUAACUUCGUGCCAGCAGCCGCGGUAAUACGAAGGGUGCAAGCGUUAAUCGGAAUUACUGGGCGUAACGCGCGCGUAGGUGGUUUUGUAAGUUGGAGGUGAAAUCCCCGGGCUCAACCUGGGAACUGCCUCCAAAACUGCAUGAAUAGAGUACGGUAGAGGGUAGUGGAAUUUCCUGUGUAGCGGUGAAAUGCGUAGAUAUAGGAAGGAACACCAGUGGCGAAGGCGACUACCUGGACUGAUACUGACACUGAGGUGCGAAAGCGUGGGGAGCAAACAGGAUUAGAAACCCGGGUAGUCC